ensembl:lincRNA 9930111H07Rik RIKEN cDNA 9930111H07 gene
GACUUCCCAGCCCAGGCCUGGACUAGAGAGAGCCUGCCUGCACCUCCAGAUACUUGAAUGUGAAGCAUCACCUGACUUCUUGCAACCAACAUCAUCCAAGGACCCAAGGCAUUCCAUCACCAUGACUGCUGAAGCUGUGUAAGACUCCUAGAAAGCACUACACUGAAAUGCUCAACUUCUGUUCAAGCAAGUCCAUUCUUCACUGGCAUUGCAGUCUACUUCUUCAGGAUUCCAGUGUCUACUGAAGACCAGCUGAGGCAUCCAGCCUUGUGGACUGAGAAACUUCUGGAUUCUUGGUUUUUCUGCUCAUAGCCAGCCAUUGUUAGAUUAGCUGGACCACAGCAAAACCCUAUAUAUAUUUACACACACACACACACACACACACACACACACACAUUCUCUUUAAGUUCUGUUACUCUAGAACUCUGGCUAAUACAACAAUCAUAGUCAAUAGCAGAGAACAAUGAAUGCAGGCAUGCUUCUUACUUGCCUGCUUGCUAACUUUGUCCACUAUUGCACAUUUCAGGAUUCCAUCUAAGGAAUGGUGCUACCUUCAGUGGGCUGGGUUAAUUAACAAUCGAGACAACCCUCCCACAGACAUGCCCACAGGCCAAUCUAUUCGGACAAUUUUUCACUUGAGAUUUUCCUUUCAGGGACUCUAGACUAUGGCAAGCUGACACCUAAAACUAACCACACUUACCUCAUCAGCUCAUUUAGUUUAAGGUAAAGAUCUUUUUAAAAAUUGGUUCCCGGGGGUGGGGGUGGGGGGAAGGGUAUGGGGGACUUUUGGGAUAGCAUUGGAAAUGUAAUUGAGGAAAAUAUGUAAUAAAAAAAAUAAAU